rnacentral:rRNA from 1 species
AUCGAACGCUGGCGGCAGGCCUAACACAUGCAAGUCGAACGAGUGGCGGACGGGUGAGUAAUGUCUGGGAAACUGCCUGAUGGAGGGGGCUAACUACUGGAACCGGUAGCUAAUCCCGCAUACCAUCGGAUGUGCCCAGAGGGGAUUAGCUAGUAGGUGGGGUAAAGGCUCACCUAGGCGACGAUGCCUAGCUGGUCUGAGAGGAUGACCAGCAACACGGGAACUGAGAACCGGUCCAGACUCCGACGGGAGGCAGCAGUGGGGAAUAUUGCACAAUGGGCGGAAGCCUGAUGCAGCCAUGCCGCGUGUAUGAAGAAGGCUUUCGGGUUGUAAAGUACUUUCAGCGGGGAGGCGUUACCCGCAGAAGAAGCACCGGCUAUCUCCGUGCCAGCAGCCGCGGUAAUAC